AGCUUUCCCUGAUUUCAGCCUAUAGCCUACAGUGAUCUCUCCCUCCUUUCUGCCCUUAAAAUACUUUUUGUCUUCAUUCUUCAUUUGGCAGCAAGCAAAUGCAUUUGAAUGAUUAAUUCAGAAGAUUCGGCUUUAUGUCACGGCACUUAACCAGGUCCCAUCCCAUUGCUGAAAGAGGGAAAGUGUGUUUUCUUACCAGUGCUGGGUUGUUCACUACAUUCGUCAAAUUCCAAAUACUUCUCAAUGUUUUUAUUACUUUCAUCAGACUGGGAGCAUCCUGAGGACAAGGAUUAUUUCCCCUUCUUUGCAUCCACAGAGCAGUACCUGGCCUGUACCUUUCCAGAAUCUCCUCACAUGACUGAGGCAUAGCGCGUUGAAAAAGCUUACGCGGUCAAGAGCCCUGAAUUCUAGUCCCGGCAAUGUUCCUGCCUAGCUGGAUGACUUUGGAUGAGGAAACUGAGGCCCAGAAUGGUGACAGAACUUGUCUAAAGUGACUUAGUCAUUAAGUGGUAGAGCAGGAUGUGAAUCCAGGUCUUUGGAAUACCAGUCUAAGCCUAAGGUGAUUGAACAUCAGUCUCAAGUGCCCAGCCUUGGAGGUGACCAUGUGAGAUUGAGGGGAUCCAGGGUACUGUAUCCCAUCAGGCAAGAGCUGGCUUGUGGCAGAAGGAGGAAUUCCCCAGAAAUUACUCCAACACUCUUGGAGAAGACAACCACCAUCAAGAGGAUUGGCCCAAGCCCUGACCUUUUAACCAGGAGACAUGUACUGGAGAUUGUUUGGACAAUGGUAGAAUGGAGGGGAAAUAAAGAAUGCCUACUCAGCAGUCAUGUAAACAGAUUUCUAUUUUGAUGUAGGGUUUUAAGUAUCAACUUCCCAAGAGAAUAUGAGUAGUUAUAAAUUAAGUUACUGAAUCUUGUUUUAAGUUGUCUUAUCAAUAUACAUCAUGAAUCUUUUGUGUUUAUCAGUAUUUUUUUUGUGUAUAGGAAAUAAAUAC